GCCCAUAUAGCUCAGGGGUAGAGCACUUCCUUGGUAAGGAAGAGGUCGCCAGUUCAAUUCUGGCUAUGGGCUCCA
rnacentral:tRNA from 2 species